UAGGGAAUAUUAGUAAUGGGCGAAAGCCUGAACUAGCAACACCGCGUGUGCGAAGAAGGCCUUCGGGUUGUAAAGCACUUUUUGGAAGGAUUAGGAAGGAAUGUACUUCCAGAAUAAGUCUCGGCUAACUACGUGCCGGCAGCCGCGGUAACACGUAGGAGGCAAACGUUAUCCGGAUUUACUGGGCGUAAAGCGCGUGUAGGUGGUUCUGUAAGUAGGGCGUGAAAGCUCCUGGCUCAACUGGGAGAGGCCGUUCUAAACUGCAGAGCUAGAGGAUGGUAGAGGGAGGUGGAAUUCCGGGUGUAGCGGUGGAAUGCGCAGAUAUCCGGAGGAACACCAGUGGCGAAAGCGGCCUCCUGGACCAUUCCUGACACUCAGACGCGAAAGCUAGGGUAGCGAACA
rnacentral:rRNA from 1 species